rnacentral:piRNA from 1 species
UACUCUUGUUGAUACAUGACCAUGGUCGGC